rnacentral:rRNA from 1 species
GACGACGCUGGCGGCGUGCUUAACACAUGCCAGUCGCACGAUGAAGCGGGUGCUUGCACUCGUGGAUUAGUGGCGAACGGGCGAGUAACACGUGAGUAACCUGUCCUUUUCUUUGGGAUAACGGCUGGAAACGGCUGCUAAUACUGGAUAUUCAGGCUGCAUCGCAUGGUGUGGUUUGGAAAGGUUUUUUCUGGGAUUGGGUGGGCUCGCGGCCUAUCAGCUUGUUGGUGGGGUGAUGGCUUACCAAGGCUUUGACGGGUAGCCGGCCUGAGAGGGUGGUCGGUCGCACUGGGACUGAGAUACGGCCCAGACUCCUACGGGAGGCAGCAGUGGGGAAUAUUGCACAAUGGACGAAAGUUUGAUGCAGCGACGCGGCGUGGAGGGUGUAGGCCUUCGGGUUGUGAACUCCUUUUUCUCGCGAAAAAGGCACAGUUUUGGCUGUGUUGAUGGUAGUGGGGGAAGAAGCGCCGGCUAACUACGUG